CAUCUUGGGACUUUGACGUGCAAAACAUCCCACCAGGAUAACGGUGUUAAAACUCCUAUCAACAUCCUGACAUUCUGGGUACCCUGGGUAUGGACAGCCAAAGAGAGGUUCAAUGGGCCCUGUGAUCGUGUCUGAAAUAAGCAAGGAGAGUGAGUCAGAACGGCACUGUUCCUCUGUGGGUGCACAAACGAGGAGGUUGUCCUCGUACUGAAUGAGAGCACAGCCCUUCGUUUGACAGAACACAUGACUUGAAAGCAAGGAGAGUGAGUCAGAACGGCACUGUUCCUCUGUGGGUGCACAAACGAGGAGGUUGUCCUCGUACUGAAUGAGAGCAGAGCCCUUCGUUUGACAGAACACAUGACUUGAAAGGACUAGUUACUAUUCAUAUGGAGUUGGUCUCUGCACCCGAUCCAAGUACUCCAAGUUCCCGAAUUCCAAGUUCUCCAAACACAACAUUCCGUGGACGGCACAGACCUGAUACGAAGACAAGCACAGAAGGUCCGAUACGAAGGCCUGAGCAAUGAAGAGAGCUGUGUGGAGCUGAGUGUGCCGAGCCGAAGCAGACGUGGGCAGACGAGAAUACGGCCAGCAAAAAUACUUUGUUUUAGUGCCCAACAGGCCGUCUGGGGACUUUGAACUGCAAAACAUCCCACCAGGAUAAACGGUGUUAAAACUCCUCUCAACAUCCUGACAUCCUGGGUACCCUGGGUAUGGACAGCCAAAGAGAGGUUCAGUGGGCCCUGUGAUCGUGUCUGAAUUAAGGUAAGAAUCAUAGAAUGAAUGGCUUGUGUGUUUGGACUGGUGUUGUCCUAUUUAUCAUUGCUGUAUUGUUAAUGAGUUGUGAUGAGUCUGUUUCUGAACUAAGAUAUAGCCGUUCCCCUUUGUUUUAUUGUCACUUGAUAUCGAUACCACUUUAGCCACUUGAUAUUGGAGCUUGAUUCAGCACUGUUUGUUGUGUGUAUGGCGUUUGCACCUGGGUGGAAGCCAAAUGUUUGCAAUGGUGAUUUAAUUUCUUCCAUACCUUUUGGGUUGUUGCUAUUGUGACUAUUGUCAUGUGAAAUGUU